CGCUGAGGCUGCCCAUCCCCCACACUCGAGAAAAAUUAUAAAAAUAAACGUCCGAAACAGCGCAAUAACCCGGCGAAACCUCGCGUUCACAGCCACGCGUGAUCGAUCUACGCGAGGUUAUCAUUUAUAACGGCAAUAAUCAAGCGGAAAGACGGAGGAAAUGAAGCUAUCCCACCAGUGGUACAUCGCGGCAUCUCUGCCUCAUAGCGGCUGAACAAAUCAGGGGGGUACAAUGAUUUAGAAACAUCUCCACUGUGGCAAAUUGUGAAUAAGCACCCAACCACCACCACUUCUAAUGAGUGAGUUAUGAAAGUACGGUAUUCAUGCUACAGGGAUUCAGGGAUUCUUCUAGAAAACCUUUCAACAACCUAAGACAGCUUAUCAUCAUUCAGUUUUUAAACAAGCCUCAACAUUGUCUAGACGUCUGGCAACGUCAUCUUCAACAUAUUUCCUUGUUCCCGUUUUACAUAAUCUGUUAAAACUUGUUUUUAUGUGAAUGUGA